AGAGUUUGAUCCUGGCUCAGGAUGAACGCUAGCGGCAGGCCUAAUACAUGCAAGUCGAGGGGUAGAGGCUGCUUGCAGCCUUGAGACCGGCGCACGGGUGCGUAACGCGUAUGCAACCUGCCCAAACCUGGGGGAUAGCCCGGAGAAAUCCGGAUUAAUACCGCAUAAAACCACAGCACGGCAUCGUGCAAUGGUCAAACAUUCAUGGGGUUUGGAUGGGCAUGCGUGCCAUUAGUUAGUUGGCGGGGUAACGGCCCACCAAGACCGCGAUGGCUAGGGGAUCUGAGAGGAUGGCCCCCACACUGGUACUGAGACACGGACCAGACUCCUACGGGAGGCAGCAGUAAGGAAUAUUGGUCAAUGGGCGCAAGCCUGAACCAGCCAUGCCGCGUGCAGGAAGACGGCCCUCCGGGUUGUAAACCGCUUUUAUUCGGGAAUAAACCUUUCUACGUGUAGGAAGCUGAAUGUACCGAAGGAAUAAGGAUCGGCUAACUCCGUA
rnacentral:rRNA from 1 species